GCCGCGGUAAUACGGAGGGUGCAAGCGUUAAUCGGAAUUACUGGGCGUAAAGCGCACGCAGGCGGUCUGUCAAGUCGGAUGUGAAAUCCCCGGGCUCAACCUGGGAACUGCAUUCGAAACUGGCAGGCUUGAGUCUUGUAGAGGGGGGUAGAAUUCCAGGUGUAGCGGUGAAAUGCGUAGAGAUCUGGAGGAAUACCGGUGGCGAAGGCGGCCCCCUGGACAAAGACUGACGCUCAGGUGCGAAAGCGUGGGGAGCAAACAGGAUUAGAUACCCUGGUAGUCCACGCCGUAAACGAUGUCUACUUGGAGGUUGUGCCCUUGAGGCGUGGCUUCCGGAGCUAACGCGUUAAGUAGACCGCCUGGGGAGUACGGCCGCAAGGUUAAAACUCAAAUGAAUUGACGGGGGCCCGCACAAGCGGUGGAGCAUGUGGUUUAAUUCGAUGCAACGCGAAGAACCUUACCUGGUCUUGACAUCCACAGAACUUUC
rnacentral:rRNA from 1 species